CACCUACGGGGUGCAGCAGUGAGGAAUAUUGGUCAAUGGACGCAAGUCUGAACCAGCCAUGCCGCGUGCAGGAUGACGGCUCUAUGAGUUGUAAACUGCUUUUGUACGAGGGUAAACCCCGAUACGUGUAUCGGGUUGAAAGUAUCGUACGAAUAAGGAUCGGCUAACUCCGUGCCAGCAGCCGCGGUAAUACGGAGGAUCCGAGCGUUAUCCGGAUUUACUGGGAUUAAAGGGUGCGUAGGCGGUUUGAUAAGUUAGUGGUGAAAUGUCGGUGCGCAACCGCGAAAACGCGUC
rnacentral:rRNA from 1 species